GAUGAACGCUGGCGGCGUGCCUAAUACAUGCAGGUCGAGCGAACGGACGAGAAGCUUGCUUCUCUGAUGUUAGCGGCGGACGGGUGAGUAACACGUGGAUAACCUACCUAUAAGACUGGGAUAACUUCGGGAAACCGGAGCUAAUACCGGAUAAUAUUUUGAACCGCAUGGUUCAAAAGUGAAAGACGGUCUUGCUGUCACUUAGAGAUGGAUCCGCGCUGCAUUAGCUAGUUGGUAAGGUAACGGCUUACCAAGGCAACGAUGCAUAGCCGACCUGAGAGGGUGAUCGGCCACACUGGAACUGAGACACGGUCCAGACUCCUACGGGAGGCAGCAGUAGGGAAUCUUCCGCAAUGGGCGAAAGCCUGACGGAGCCACGCCGCGUGAGUGAUGAAGGUCUUCGGAUCGUAAAACUCUGUUAUUAGGGAAGAACAUAUGUGUAAGUAACUGUGCACAUCUUGACGGUACCUAAUCAGAAAGCCACGGCUAACUACGUG
rnacentral:rRNA from 1 species